UACAGAGGGUGCAAGCGUUAAUCGGAAUUACUGGGCGUAAAGCGCGCGUAGGUGGUUUGUUAAGUUGGAUGUGGAAUCCCCGGGCUCAACCUGGGAACUGCAUCCAAAACUGGCAAGCUAGAGUAUGGUAGAGGGUGGUGGAAUUUCCUGUGUAGCGGUGAAAUGCGCAGAUAUCAGGAAGAACACCCGUGGCUAAGGCGGCUCUCUAGUACGGUACUGACGCUGAGACGCGAAAGCGUGGGGAGCGAACAAG
rnacentral:rRNA from 1 species